UACGUAGGGUGCAAGCGUUGUUCGGAAUUAUUGGGCGUAAAGCGCGUGUAGGUGGUCAUCUAAGUCGAGUGUGAAAUCCCUGGGCUCAACCUAGGAAGUGCAUCCGAAACUAGUUGACUAGAAGACAGUAGAGGAAGGUGGAAUUCCAAGUGUAGAGGUGAAAUUCGUAGAUAUUUGGAGGAAUACCGGCGGCGAAGGCGGCCUUCUGGACUGUUCUUGACACUGAGACGCGAAAGCGUGGGUAGCAAACAGGAUUAGAAACCCUUGUAGU
rnacentral:rRNA from 1 species